rnacentral:rRNA from 1 species
UACGAAGGGGGCUAGCGUUGUUCGGAUUUACUGGGCGUAAAGCGCACGUAGGCGGAUCGUUAAGUCGGGGGUGAAAUCCUGGAGCUCAACUCCAGAACUGCCUUCGAUACUGGCGAUCUUGAGUCCGGAAGAGGUGAGUGGAACUCCUAGUGUAGAGGUGGAAUUCGUAGAUAUUAGGAAGAACACCAGUGGCGAAGGCGGCGACCUGGACGGACACUGACGCUGAGACGCGAAAGCGUGGGGAGCAAACAGG